CGAUCUUUCAAUCCUCGACAGACCACAAAGUUUGCAGAGAGAUUCAUGAUUUCUCUCAGAAGGGAUUUCGAACGAAGAAGCGUGCAAAACGAUAGCGACUUCAUUAGAAGGAUUCCACCGUUCUCAAAUACGGAUCGAUUUUUCAAUCGUCCACAGACCACAAGUACAGACAUUACAGAAUAGAGUUUGUGUAUGAAAUUGUGGAUUAUCAAGUGCUGGUGUUUUUAUGUGUCAUGGUUUCUGCAUCGUUAAAGUUCGAGCACUCGGUUGUUACUGCAAGCGUGUAACUUACUAACAGUUUGAAGGGAAGUAAAGAUGCGCCUGCGCUUGAUUCCCAUUAUACUUGGAAGGGAACACUACUGUGAUAAUAAAUUCUAUAAAGGGAUGAUCCCUUCAUUUUACCCCAUGCACGGUUUGCUGCUUUAUGCAUUAUAAAUGUAUUCAGGAGGAUAAUCGCUCUCGAACAUCAUCGACAAGUUGAUUUGUCGGGUACCCCUGAACAGGUACAGUAAAUGAAACUAUACGUGCGCCUACAAUAUUGUGUGUUACACGUAGCACAAAAAAAUAUGUGUGAGUAUGCAUGUGAAUUCGCGAACGAUAAGAAAAUGCGAAUAGGGCAAAUAAUGAUCGUAGCAUGCUUAAAAUGUUAUUUUCAAUAAAUACAAGUACAGGUAAUUUCUUAGUUCUACAAGUGAUGAUCUUUAGUUGUACAUUGGAUUUCGCCGCAAACAUAUCGAUUGUAUUAUUUGGGUAAUUUGG